GACGAACGCUGGCGGCGUGCUUAACACAUGCAAGUCGAACGGAAAGGCCCUGCUUUUGUGGGGUGCUCGAGUGGCGAAAGGGUGAGUAACACGUGAGUAACCUGCCCUUGACUUUGGGAUAACUUCAGGAAACUGGGGCUAAUACCGGAUAGGAGCUCCUGCUGCAUGGUGGGGGUUGGAAAGUUUCGGCGGUUGGGGAUGGACUCGCGGCUUAUCAGCUUGUUGGUGGGGUAGUGGCUUACCAAGGCUUUGACGGGUAGGCGGCCUGAGAGGGUGACCGGCCACAUUGGGACUGAGAUACGGCCCAGACUCCUACGGGAGGCAGCAGUGGGGAAUAUUGCACAAUGGGCGGAAGCCUGAUGCAGCAACGCCGCGUGCGGGAUGACGGCCUUCGGGUUGUAAACCGCUUUCGCCUGUGACGAAGCGUGAGUGACGGUAAUGGGUAAAGAAGCACCGGCUAACUACGUG
rnacentral:rRNA from 1 species